rnacentral:rRNA from 1 species
GGAUGCGAUCAUACCAGCACUAAUGCACCGGAUCCCAUCAGAACUCCGAAGUUAAGCGUGCUUGGGCGAGAGGUUAGUACUAGGAUGGGUGACCCCCUGGGAAGUCCUCGUGUUGCAUCCC